GCGGGAGUAGUUCAAUUGGCUAGAAUGUCUCCCUUCCAAGGAGAAGGUUGCGGGUUCGACCCCCGUCUCCCGCU
rnacentral:tRNA from 1 species